rnacentral:rRNA from 1 species
CACACCCGUUUGAGUGUCGUGAAAAUCUCAACCUUCUCGGUUUCUUCUGGACACCGAAGGAGGCUUGGACUUUGGAGGCUUUUGCUGGCAUAUCUCCCAGCUCCUCUCAAUGAAUUAGCGGGGUCCUCUUUGCCGAUCCUCGACAUGUGAUAAGAUGUUUCCGUGUCUUGGUUUAUGGCUCUGUUGCUUUUGGGACCCGCUUCUAGCCGUCUCGUCGAGACAACGUUUGAGCGUGUCUCCCUUCUCGGGGAAACGCUCUCAGACCCACGAACCCUUGACCUCAAAUCGGGUGAGACUACCCGCUGAACUUAAGCAUAUCAAUAAGCGGAGG